rnacentral:rRNA from 1 species
GAUGAACGCUAGCUACAGGCUUAACACAUGCAAGUCGAGGGGUAACGAGAGGGAAGCUUGCUUUCCUUGUCGACGACCGGCGCACGGGUGAGUAACGCGUAUCCAACCUGCCCCCAACUAGGGAAUAACCUUGCGAAGGUAAGACUAAUACCCUAUAAUUUCCUCAGAUGGCAUCUGACGAGGAAUAAAGAUUUAUCGGUCGUGGAUGGGGAUGCGUCUGAUUAGCUUGUUGGCGGGGUAACGGCCCACCAAGGCAACGAUCAGUAGGGGUUCUGAGAGGAAGGUCCCCCACAUUGGAACUGAGACACGGUCCAAACUCCUACGGGAGGCAGCAGUGAGGAAUAUUGGUCAAUGGGCGGAAGCCUGAACCAGCCAAGUAGCGUGCAGGAUGACGGCCCUAUGGGUUGUAAACUGCUUUUAUACAGGAAUAAAGUUAGCCACGUGUGGUUAUUUGUAGGAACUGUAUGAAUAAGGACCGGCUAAUUCCGUGCCAGCAGCCGCAGUAA